rnacentral:rRNA from 1 species
CCUACGGGAGGCUGCAGUGAGGAAUAUUGGUCAAUGGACGAGAGUCUGAACCAGCCAAGUAGCGUGACGGAUGACUGCCCUAUGGGUUGUAAACUUCUUUUAUAUGGGAAUAAAAUGUUCCACGUGUGGGAUUUUGUAUGUACCAUAUGAAUAAGGAUCGGCUAACUCCGUGCCAGCAGCCGCGGUAAUACGGAGGAUCCGAGCGUUAUCCGGAUUUAUUGGGUUUAAAGGGAGCGUAGGUGGAUUGUUAAGUCAGUUGUGAAAGUUUGCGGCUCAACCGUAAAAUUGCAGUUGAAACUGGCAGUCUUGAGUACAGUAGAGGUGGGCGGAAUUCGUGGUGUAGCGGUGAAAUGCUUAGAUAUCACGAAGAACUCCGAUUGCGAAGGCAGUUCACUGGACUGCAACUGACACUGAGGCUCGAAAGUGUGGGUAUCAAACAGGAUUAGAUACCCUAGUAGUC